rnacentral:rRNA from 1 species
GACGAACGCUGGCGGCGUGCUUAACACAUGCAAGUCGAACGGAAAGGCCCUGCGUUUGUGGGGUGCUCGAGUGGCGAACGGGUGAGUAACACGUGAGUAACCUGCCCUUGACUUUGGGAUAACUUCAGGAAACUGGGGCUAAUACCGGAUAGGAGCUCCUGCUGCAUGGUGGGGGUUGGAAAGUUUCGGCGGUUGGGGAUGGACUCGCGGCUUAUCAGCUUGUUGGUUGGGUAGUGGCUUACCAAGGCUUUGACGGGUAGCCGGCCUGAGAGGGUGACCGGCCACAUUGGGACUGAGAUAGGGCGCAGACUCCUACGGGAGGCAGCAGUGGGGAAUAUUGCACAAUGGGCGGACGCCUGAUGCAGCAACGCCGCGUGCGGGAUGACGGCCUUCGGGUUGUAAACCGCUUUCGCCUGUGACGAAGCGUGAGUGACGGUAAUGGGUAAAGAAGCACCGGCUAACUACGUG